CAGUAGCCGCGGUAAUACGAAGGGUGCGAGCGUUAAUCGGAAUUACUGGGCGUAAAGCGUGCGUAGGCGGUGAGUUAAGUCUGCUGUGAAAUCCCCGGGCUCAACCUGGGAAUGGCAGUGGAUACUGGCUCGCUAGAGUGUGUCAGAGGAUGGUGGAAUUCCCGGUGUAGCGGUGAAAUGCGUAGAGAUCGGGAGGAACAUCAGUGGCGAAGGCGGCCAUCUGGGACAACACUGACGCUGAGGCACGAAAGCGUGGGGAGCAAACAGGAUUAGAUACCCGCGUAGUCCCUGUCUCUUAUAC
rnacentral:rRNA from 1 species